GUGCCAGCAGCCGCGGUAAUACCGGUAGCACGAGUGAUGGCCGAUUUUAUUGGGCCUAAAGCGUCCGUAGCUUGCUGUGUAAGUCCAUUGGGAAAUCCACGCGCUCAACGCGUGGGCGUCCGGUGGAAACUGCACGGCUUGGGGCCGAGAGACUCGACGGGUACGUCCGGGGUAGGAGUGAAAUCCUAUAAUCCUGGACGGACCACCAAUGGGGAAACCACGUCGAGAGACCGGACCCGACAGUGAGGGACGAAAGCCAGGGUCUCGAGCCGGAUUAGAAACCCGAGUGUCC
rnacentral:rRNA from 1 species